rnacentral:rRNA from 1 species
UACGUAGGGGGCAAGCGUUGUCCGGAUUCAUUGGGCGUAAAGGGUGCGUAGGUGGCGCCGUAAGUCAGGUGUGAAAUUUCGGAGCUUAACUCCGAAACUGCAUUUGAUACUGCGGUGCUUGAGGACUGGAGAGGAGACUGGAAUUUACGGUGUAGCAGUGAAAUGCGUAGAGAUCGUAAGGAAGACCAGUGGCGAAGGCGGGUCUCUGGACAGUUCCUGACACUGAGGCACGAAGGCCAGGGGAGCAAACGGG